UGGUGAUCUGAUAGAUAUGGUCAUUCCCGACGGAAUUUUUCUGUUAUCUUCAAAACUAUAGGUUUGGGAGGUUUUCGCCCUUUUCGGGGGCGGAAGGGGGCGUGGCUCAUUUUUGAAAUACACUUGUAACAGUGUGAGCAUACAGAAUGUAUGCAAAUUUGGUGGCUCUAGCUCUUAUAGUCUCUGAGUACUAGGCGCUCAUCAGGACGGACAGACGAACGGACAGACAGACAUGGUUCAAUCGACUCGGCUAUUGAUGCUGAUCAAGAAUAUAAAUACUUUAUGGGGUCGGAAACGUUUCCUACUGUGUGUUACAUACUUUGUGCACAAAUACAAUAUACCCUAUUUACUCUUCGAGUACCGGGUAUAAAAAAAACCCUGAAAAAUGAUUUUGUUUGCGAAAAAUUGUAUUUAAGGUCUUCAAUAUCCUCAAAAAUUAUGAAAACAAUUUUAUAUCGCUCUGAAAGAGGGUUGACAGUUCGUACACGACUGAUUGCACAUUGUUUAGUUGCAAGAGGUCCCAGAAAGCUACGCGUUUGAGAAUUAAAGCACAUGGGUACACGACUCAUGUUUGGAAAAAUAUGAGCAUGUGAUCUGGGCUCUGUGAUCACGUCAUGAGUGUAAAGUUGUAUUAGUAUGUAUGUAGUAUGUAAUAUGGUAAGAAGACUCAAAAGAAUAUGUUUGGCGUUCAGAGAUAUCUGAUAUAUUCUUAAAAAUUCUUCAGGGUUGUAAUGCAUACACUUCUGGCUUUCUAAAGAGGUAUACUUGUUUAAUUCGGAUGACUAGAAAUAUCUGAAAAGAAUUUUGAAAAUUG
rnacentral:lncRNA from 1 species